AUACAUGCGAUGAAAAGGACAUGAAUGAUAGUUACGGUUUUCAGAGAGGGAAGGAAAGGUGAGAGCUUCCCAGCUUAGGAAUAUCAUUUACCGCCUUGGAGCAGCAUUGGGGAACUGAAGUAACCAAUGCCGUCUAUGCUGCGUUACAGCACCGAGCCGACAACAUAGUAUUUGUCGGGAACUUGGGUGGAACCACGGGUUAAUCACACACUCGUCCCUAUC
rfam:Bacillus subtilis subsp. subtilis str. 168 complete genome.